rnacentral:lncRNA from 1 species
UUCAGUCUAGGUCUAUUAUUUGACCUUAAAUCAAUCAUUUAAGAUUUUAAUAAAUUGUCUAAUUUUCUCGGGUUGUCACAACAUCCCCAAGAAAAUAAAGAGAACAAUGCUCCAGCUGAGGGGGAGAUCCAUGAAAUUCUCAUGAUUGAGUAUACACCGGCUGAGGGGGAGAAGUCUACAGCUCAAGAAGAGGUUCCAGCUGAGUGGGAGUUUCUGAAUCUACAAGCGGAUGACUAUGCUUUUCCUGUAUCCGAACGCAUUCGCCUUAUCU